ACGAACGCUGGCGGCGUGCCUAAUACAUGCCAGUCGAGCGAAGUUUUUCUGGUGCUUGCACUAGAAAAACUUAGCGGCGAACGGGUGAGUAACACGUAAAGAACCUGCCUCAUAGACUGGGACAACUAUUGGAAACGAUAGCUAAUACCGGAUAACAGCAUUAACUGCAUGGUUGAUGUUUAAAAGUUGGUUUUGCUAACACUAUGAGAUGGCUUUGCGGUGCAUUAGCUAGUUGGUGGGGUAAAGGCCUACCAAGGCGACGAUGCAUAGCCGACCUGAGAGGGUGAUCGGCCACACUGGGACUGAGACACGGCCCAGACUCCUACGGGAGGCAGCAGUAGGGAAUCUUCCGCAAUGGGCGAAAGCCUGACGGAGCAACGCCGCGUGAGUGGAGAAGGAUUUCGGUUCGUAAAGCUCUGUUGUUAGGGAAGAAUGAUUGUGUAGUAACUAUACACAGUAGAGACGGUACCUAACCAGAAAGCCACGGCUAACUACGUG
rnacentral:rRNA from 1 species